rnacentral:rRNA from 1 species
UUAGUUGUGCGUCUCCUAGCCACGGUGGAGGCGCGGCGCACAGCUCAGUAACACGUGGCUAACCUACCCUUGGGAUGGAAAUAUCCCCGGGAAACUGGGGCUAAUUUCCGAUAGGUGAGGAUUCCUGGAAUGGGUCUUCGCUUAAAGGGCACUUAGGGCAUGCUUCUAGGUGUUGCCCAAGGAUGGGGCCGCGGCCGAUCAGGUUGUUGGUGAGGUAAUGGCUCACCAAGCCUUUAACCGGUACGGGCCGUGGGAGCGGGAGCCCGGAGAUGGGCACUGAGACAAGGGCCCAGGCCCUACGGGGCGCAGCAGUCGCGAAAACUCCGCAAUACGCGAAAGCGUGACGGGGCCAUCCCGAGUGCCGUCCGCUGAGGAUGGCUUUUCCCCAUUGUAGAUAGCUGGGGGAAUAAGGAGAGGGCAAGUCUGGUGUCAGCCGCCGCGGUAAUACCAGCUCUCCGAGUGGUGUGGAUGUUUAUUGGGCUUAAAGCAUCCGUAGCUGGCUGAGCAAGUCCUCUGUUAAAUCCAGCGAUUCAAUCGUUGGCUUGCAGAGGAUACUGUUCGGCUUGGAGGCGGGAGAGGCCGACGGUAUUCUCGGGGUAGGGGUGAAAUCCUAUAAUCCCGGGAAGACCACCAGUGGCGAAGGCUGUCGGCUAGAACGCGCUCGACGGUGAGGGAUGAAAGCUGGGGGAGCGAACCGGAUUAGAUACCCGGGUAGUCCCAGCUGUAAACGAUGCAGGCUAGGUGUUAGGGCGGCUACGCGCCGCCUUAGUGCCGCA